ensembl:ncRNA F18A12.9 ncRNA
CUUAGGCUUAGGCUUUGGCUUAGGCUUAGGCUUACGCUUAGGCUCAGGCUUAGGCUGAGACUAUUUUUCUA